UACAGAGGGGCGAGGCGUUAUUCGGAAUUAUUGGGCGUAAAGGGCGCGUGAGGCGGCUUUUCAAGUGACGGGUGAAAUCCCUCGGCUUAACCGAGGAACUGCCUGUCAGACUGGAAGGCUUGAGACCGGGAGAGGUGAGUGGAAUUCCCAGUGUAGCGGUGAAAUGCGUAGAUAUCGGGAGGAACACCAGUGGCGAAGGCGACUACCUGGCCUGUUCUUGACGCUGAGGCGCGAAAGCUAGGGGAGCAAAGCGGG
rnacentral:rRNA from 1 species